rnacentral:rRNA from 1 species
GGAAUUUUCCGCAAUGGGCGAAAGCCUGACGGAGCAAUGCCGCGUGGAGGCAGAAGGCCUUCGGGUUGUAAAGCUCUUUUGUCAGGGAAGAAACGGUGAAAGCUAAUAUCUUUUGCUAAUGACGGUACCUGAAGAAUAAGCGCCGGCUAACUACGUGCCAGCAGCCGCGGUAAUACGUAGGGCGCAAGCGUUAUCCGGAAUUACUGGGCGUAAAGAGCUCGUAGGCGGUUUGUCGCGUCUGCCGUGAAAGUCCGGGGCUCAACUCCGGAUCUGCGGUGGGUACGGGCAGACUAGAGUGAUGUAGGGGAGACUGGAAUUCCUGGUGUAGCGGUGAAAUGCGCAGAUAUCAGGAGGAACACCGAUGGCGAAAGCACUCUGCUGGGCCGACACUGACACUGAGAGACGAAAGCUAGGGGAGCGAAUGGGAUUAGAUACCCUGG